GUGAGUCAUCGAAUCUUUGAACGCACCUUGCGCUCCUUGGUAUUCCAUGGAGCACGCCUGUUUGAGUGUCACGUGAAUACAUCACCUCCCUUCGGGGAAGCGUGGACUUGGGCGCCUGCCGACGUAUCGCCGGCUCGUCCGAAAUGCAUUAGCCUGCGGAGUGUCCCCUGGCCUUUGGCGUGAUAGUAACAUUUCGCCGCUGUCGCCGAGGACGUUUUGCUCCGGGCUCACAAUGUGCGUGCCCCUUGCGGCCGCGACCCCCUUUUACGCUUUGGCCUCAAAUCAGGCGGGACUACCCGCUGAACUUAAGCAUAUCAAUAAGCGGAGGA
rnacentral:misc_RNA from 1 species